rnacentral:rRNA from 1 species
UGGGGAAUUUUGCACAAUGGAGGAAACUCUGAUGCAGCGACACCGCGUGAGUGAUGAAGAUCUUCGGAUUGUAAAACUCUGUCCUUAGUGAAGAUAAUGACAGUAACUAAGAAGCAAGCCCUGGCUAAAUACGUGCCAGCAGCCGCGGUAAUACGUAUGGGGCAAGCGUUGUCCGGAAUUAUUGGGCGUAAAGGGUACGUAGGCGGUUUAAUAAGUCCUAAUUAAAAGGCUAUGGCUCAACCAUAGUAUGGUUAGGAAACUGUUGAACUUGAGUAGAUGAGGGGAAAGUGGAAUUCCAUGUGUAGCGGUGAAAUGCGUAGAUAUAUGGAGGAACACCAAUGGCGAAGGCAACUUUCUGGAAUCAAACUGACGCUGAGGUACGAAGGCGUGGGGAGCAAACAGG